GGUAAAAUUAUCACCAAAUCCCCAAAAAACGAUUCUAAUCAUAUUCCAAGCCAAAACCCUUCCCCAAAAUCAUAUCUCCCUUCAUUCAUUUACAAGAAAAUCUCAAUCCAUAAUCAUCAUUUUGAUCUUCCACACAUUAUCCGCAAAAUGUAAUCACCAGAAUAUCACCCAAAUCAACCAUUUGAUUUGUACUUUCAGUUGUUACUAUAAAACCCCAAUCUACGUAGAAAAUAUCAAAAUCUCCUUGUUAAAAUGUAUACCAUGGCUGCUGAUACAAACACAUCUUCAUUGGGAUAUGUAUGGCUUGUGAGAAAUGUCAAAGAGACUCCAGUCGCAGCCGACCAGCAAUGACGUUUGUCCAUGGUUAACAUCAAGACCCAGCAAGCAGGCGAAUACUCCAAGUCCUGUGAGAUUAUCGAACCCAAGAACGAAACGAUUAAUACCCCUACUCGUCGCAUUACCCAUUCUAUUUACAUAUCCUCACAGUCGAAAGAUUUCGCCAGUGGUCCAUCUGCUACAAGGGUCGUGAACACCAACUCCUAAAAUUUGGGAAAGAUUAUCCAAAUGAAGGACAGUGAUAAGAGGCUCAUUGAAGAUGCACUUGCAAAUCCAAGCAACACAAAGAAAAAGUUUGGAGCCCCACACAAACACAGGUAUUUUUUUGGUGUCUUAACAAAUAUUUUGGACCCUUAUACCAGUUACGAUAGCAAAUAUUUAUGAUUAUCAAUUUAUACAUGAUUUCAUUCAAGUGAAUAGAUAGAGGGGUGUGAUUGUCGAAACCUGACUUCUUGAUUUCUUGUGUAAUUGAAUACCCCAUUAUAUUUAUGAUUGAUGCCUAGGAUAUGGUCAUUUAUUGCACAAAUAUUAUUGCUUAUGAUUUUCACUUAGAAUAAUGAAAUUCCUAAGUUGUAUACGAACACACAACGAAGUAGAGUGUUAAGCUGUUAUAAUGAGUCUCAUAUAUUAUGUUGUAGUAAUUAGUUUAAGAAGUAAUUAUUUUCAGUCAUGUGCAAUAAAAGUCCAAUAAAUAAAUAAUUUUCAUGAAAUUUUGAUCACUGUAUUACGUUUUUCUCAUGGGAUUUUAUUAUUGAAUUGUAUGGAUUUAUUGUUUUGCUUUGGAUCAAUGCUUUAUGAUGCACAUGUUUUCAUAUAUGAACGAGGGGUGAAUAGAGUAUUUCAGUCAAAUGCAUAAUAUUUUCAAUACGGAUGAAGUACAUUCGGAUACAACACCAAACAACACAUAUACAUGCCUCAAUUUGUGAUAUGUCAAUGAUGGAAAUAUAAUCAUUCAAAUUUGGAAUUUGUUUUGAAAUAUCAGAACAUAGAAUGUGUGAAUCAUUGCACCAAUUUAUAUGCACAUCAAUCUCCUUUGUAGGGUUCAAUCUAUACUCCGUUGGUAUAUUUGGCAAGAUCUCUACCACUCUUACAUGUAAUGCAUAGACCGUCAUGCAUGCAUCUCUACGCUUAAGCUCCAAAUAGAAAUGUAGAGAGCCGUAAUUUUUUAUUCGGCAACUCCUAAAAUUUGGGAAAGAUUAUCCAAAUGAAGGACAGUGAUAAGAGGCUCAUUGAAGAUGCACUUGCAAAUCCAAGCAACACAAAGAAAAAGUUUGGAGCCCCACACAAACACAGGUAUUUUUUUGGUGUCUUAACAAAUAUUUUGGACCCUUAUACCAGUUACGAUAGCAAAUAUUUAUGAUUAUCAAUUUAUACAUGAUUUCAUUCAAGUGAAUAGAUAGAGGGGUGUGAUUGUCGAAACCUGACUUCUUGAUUUCUUGUGUAAUUGAAUACCCCAUUAUAUUUAUGAUUGAUGCCUAGGAUAUGGUCAUUUAUUGCACAAAUAUUAUUGCUUAUGAUUUUCACUUAGAAUAAUGAAAUUCCUAAGUUGUAUACGAACACACAACGAAGUAGAGUGUUAAGCUGUUAUAAUGAGUCUCAUAUAUUAUGUUGUAGUAAUUAGUUUAAGAAGUAAUUAUUUUCAGUCAUGUGCAAUAAAAGUCCAAUAAAUAAAUAAUUUUCAUGAAAUUUUGAUCACUGUAUUACGUUUUUCUCAUGGGAUUUUAUUAUUGAAUUGUAUGGAUUUAUUGUUUUGCUUUGGAUCAAUGCUUUAUGAUGCACAUGUUUUCAUAUAUGAACGAGGGGUGAAUAGAGUAUUUCAGUCAAAUGCAUAAUAUUUUCAAUACGGAUGAAGUACAUUCGGAUACAACACCAAACAACACAUAUACAUGCCUCAAUUUGUGAUAUGUCAAUGAUGGAAAUAUAAUCAUUCAAAUUUGGAAUUUGUUUUGAAAUAUCAGAACAUAGAAUGUGUGAAUCAUUGCACCAAUUUAUAUGCACAUCAAUCUCCUUUGUAGGGUUCAAUCUAUACUCCGUUGGUAUAUUUGGCAAGAUCUCUACCACUCUUACAUGUAAUGCAUAGACCGUCAUGCAUGCAUCUCUACGCUUAAGCUCCAAAUAGAAAUGUAGAGAGCCGUAAUUUUUUAUUCGGAUAGGGGACAUAUCUACAUCAGCAAUGUACUCAAUCUUCGAGAUUAUUAUAUUUGGAAAUAUUAUAUUUUAAGAAAUAGGUAGAUUCGAGAUUAUUUUACAUUUAAUCAAGUAUUUUUGGUUUUGUAAACGUAACAUAGUAAAUGAUGAAAUAAUUUUCAGUAAUGAUACAAUUACCAAAAUUUCCCAGGACUAAAUUUUUGCUACAAACUGGAAGUCCAAUUUACAUUUUGGGUGGGCUUUUGAAGUUCGGUCACAGUCCAGAAAGGCCAACUUGAAAAAGAUGAUUAUUGCUUGUCACUUUGUUUGCUGAAAAUGGUAAGGAGCACCAAAUAAAUAUGGGAAAAGCUCAUAUGUCAUCAUCUGGGUGCAUGAACAGGAUAGGCAUGAAAGAUAAGUGCAGUCAAUGGAGAUUAUAAUUAGGCUUUUGUGGUGCUUAAGAAGUUUCUUGAUCUUUAAUUAUCAACAAUCUUGACUUUACCAACAUUAUUGCCACUUGCCGAAUGCACCAAUAAUUGGCCAAACAUGCUCUUUUACCUUAAUUCAAUUCUAAGCACUCAAAAUGUUAAACUUAUUAUUAAGGGAAUAAUUUUAAUUAUGGAAACUUGGUGUAAGCAGUGUCAGCAUUAUUGACUGUUGAGAAUCUUUAAAAAUCAACUGUAUAAAUUCUUUCUCGAUCACUGGGCAAUUUGCAAAACGAAAGUGGUCAGUAAUUUGCAACCUCAUAUUAUUAUGAGAGUUGUCUCUUCUAAACAUUUUCGAACCAAAUUGCUCAUCCAUGAAUAUAUUGUGUUCGUGAGAUAAAAAUGCUUUUCCAUUCGGUUAUUUGGAUGACUAAAAUGUGGGCUUCAAAUCAUGAGCCUAGAGCUUGUAUAGCAAGUACUGUUGUUAAGACAUAUUUAGCCCUUGUUUGGUGGGAAUUAAAAUUUGAAUUUUAGUAGAUUUUGAUAAAAGUUGAUGAAAUGUAUAGUUGAAAGUUAUGGGUCUCAUGAAAUGUGUGGUUAAAAUUAACUGCUAACUUUAACUUAGAUUAAAAUCUAGAUUUUAAUUUUCACCAAACAGUGGCCUAAUUAAUUGUAGCAAUUGGAGAGAACAGAUUCAAUUUGCAUGCUCUCACAAUAAUGUAGUCUUUUUUUCUUUUUUCUUUCUUUUUUAUCCACUUGAAAUUGUAUCCACAACGAACAUGAAAGCAUACCAUGAUUUGUGCCUUUGCUUUGUUAGGCAUUGCAUGAAGAAACUGUCAAGUGGUGGAGCUUAAUUAUUGUUGCUACGCAGAGUCCAUUAUUAAGGUUUAAAAUAUCAACGUAAUAAAUUACUAUAAGGUGAAAAAUGACAUAAUCUCACAUUAAGGUGAACUUUCAUUAAUUAUUUUUAUGUACAUAUUUUCUUUUGGCCAUUUUAUUACUCUCAACAUUAUAGAGUUAAGAGUUUCUAAUUUCCAACACAAGCCAAAUUCUUUGCAAGAAAUUCGUGAACAAGCAUGCAAAACACUCCAAAAUCCUAUUUUAUGCACAUUUUGUUUAUUCUUGUUGGUAAUCACUUUUGAAGAAAAUGCCACUUCAGAUAGAGAUGCUGAUGAUCGAUGAAUUAGGGAUAAUUCCACAAAUUGUCAUCUUGUAUAUUUUCAUCAGCAGGUGUGUCUUCACCAGCAAGGUCAUGGCGCGGGGGGCUAAUAAGCAUUCCUUCAGCCAUGUUCUUAAGAACAUUAGGCAUAUCAAAGAUCAAAUCCUCGUCGAUGAACUCAUUUAUGUCCAAAUUUUCAGGUGGCAGCGCUGGAUUUUCCACACUCCCAGUAGCCUCGGCCGUCGCAGCAGUUGCGGUGGCUGCACUAGCAGUAAGAUCAUAGCGCGGAGGGCUAAUAUCAAAGAUCAAAUCCUCGUCGAUGAACUCAUUUACGUCCAAAUUUUCAGGUUGCAGCGCUGGAUUUUCCACACUCGCAAUAGCGUCGGCCGCCGCAGCAGCUGCCGAGGCUGCACUAGCAGCAGCUGCCGC
rnacentral:lncRNA from 1 species